AGAGUUUGAUCCUGGCUCAGAGUGAACGCUGGCGGUGUGGAUUAGGCAUGCAAGUCGAGCGAUCCUUGUCUGAAAUCUCGUCGGAAAGCUUGCUUUUUGAAGAGAUGGAUGACGCUGGAUAGCGGCAAACGGGUGAGUAACGCGUGAGUAACUUGCCCCUGAGACAGACAUAGCUUCGUGAAAACGGAGGUAAUAUCUGAUGUUAUAGUAUACCCACAUGGGUAAACUAUCAAAGGUGGGGACCGUAAGGCCUGCCGCUCGGGGAUGGACUCGCGUCCUAUCAGCUUGUUGGUAAGGUAACGGCUUACCAAGGCGUUUGACGGGUAGCUGGUCUGAGAGGAUGGUCAGCCACACUGGGACUGAGACACUGCCCAGACUCCUACGGGAGGCUGCAGUCGAGAAUAUUUAGCAAUGGGCGAAAGCCUGACUAUGCGACACCGCGUGCAGGAUGAAGGGUUUCGGCUCGUAAACUGCUUUUUUUAGGAAAGAAAUCCCUGCUCCAGAUAACGGUUCAGGGUUGACGGUACCUAACGAAUAAGCCACGGCCAACUCCGUGCCAGCAGCCGCGGUAAUACGGAGGUGGCAAGCGUUACUCGGAAUCAUUGGGUGUAAAGGGCAAGUAGGCGGUCUGCUAAGUGGGGGGUGAAAUCUUCCGACUCAAUCGGAAAAUUGCCUUUCAAACUAGCAGACUUGAGGUAGGAAGAGGGAAAUGGAAUUCUCGGUGUAAGGGUGAAAUCUGUAGAUAUCGAGAAGAACACCAGCGGCGAAGGCGAUUUCCUGGUUCUAUCCUGACGCUAAAUUGCGAAAGCUAGGGGAGCAAACAGAAUUAGAUACUCUGGUAGUCCUAGCCGUAAACGAUGAGCACUAGGUGUUGGUCCUUUUUGGAUCAGUGCCGCAGCUAACGCAUUAAGUGCUCCACCUGGGGACUACGGUCGCAAGGCUAAAACUCAAAGGAAUUGACGGGGGCCCGCACAAGCGGUGGAACAUGUGGUUUAAUUCGAUGAUACGCGAAGAACCUUACCAGGGUUUGACAUGUAGGCAGUAGUGAACCGAAAGGGGAUCGAGUCGUCAAGUCCGACAACCUACACAGGUGCUGCAUGGCUGUCGUCAGCUCGUGUCGUGAGAUGUUGGGUUAAGUCCCGCAACGAGCGCAACCAUUUCCCCAUGUUGCUAUCCUCCAUUAUUGUUUUCGUAAGAAGGCUAUGGAGGAGCACUCUUGGGGUACUGCCUGGGAUAACCAGGAGGAAGGUGGAGAUGACGUCAAGUCAGUACGGCCCUUAUAUCCUGGGCUACACACGUGUUACAAUGGUUGAUACAAAGGGUUGCCAACCCGCGAGGGGGAGCUAAUCUCUAAAAGUCAGCCUCAGUUCAGAUUGAAGUCUGCAAUUCGACUUCAUGAAGUUGGAAUCGCUAGUAAUGGGAGAUCAGCACGCUCCCAUGAAUACGUUCCCGGGCCUUGUACACACCGCCCGUCAAGCGAUGGGAGCCGGGGGUACCCGAAGUCCUAUGUAGGUAGGCCGAAGGUAAAUUCGGUGACUGGCGCUAAGUCGUAACAAGGUA
rnacentral:rRNA from 1 species